rnacentral:rRNA from 1 species
CCUACGGGAGGCUGCAGUGGGGGAUAUUGGACAAUGGGGGGAACCCUGAUCCAGCGACGCCGCGUGAGUGAAGAAGUAUUUCGGUAUGUAAAGCUCUGUCAGCAGGGAAGAAAGAAAUGACGGUACCUGACCAAGAAGCCCCGGCUAACUACGUGCCAGCAGCCGCGGUAAUACGUAGGGGGCAAGCGUUAUCCGGAAUUACUGGUUGUAAAGGGGGCGUAGACGGUUAAGUAAGUCUGGAGUGAAAGGCCGGGGCCCAACCCCGGGACUGCUCUGGAAACUAUUGAACUUGAGUGCAGGAGAGGUAAGCGGAAUUCCUAGUGUAGCGGUGAAAUGCGUAGAUAUUAGGAGGAACACCAGUGGCGAAGGCGGCUUACUGGACUGUAACUGACGUUGAGGCUCGAAAGCGUGGGGAGCAAACAGGAUUAGAUACCCGGGUAGUC